rnacentral:rRNA from 1 species
UACAGAGGAUGCAAGCGUUAUCCGGAAUGAUUGGGCGUAAAGCGUCUGUAGGUGGCUUUUUAAGCCCGCCGUCAAAUCCCAGGGCUCAACUCUGGACAGGCGGUGGAAACUACCAAGCUGGAGUACGGUAGGGGCAGAGGGAAUUUCCGGUGGAGCGGUGAAAUGCGUAGAUAUCGGAAGGAACGCCAGUGGCGAAAGCGGCUUCCUGGUCCGACACCGACGUUCAGGCACGAAAGCGUGGGGAGCAAACAGG